AAAUGGAAAAUUUGGUAUUGGGCCACUUCAGCACAAAAAUGAAUACGGUUUCGUCCAAACAAAUUCGGACAAGAUUAUAAUAAGAUACAAGAAUAAUAUAAUUAUGUAACCAGCAAUUAUUCAAAUUAAUCGCUGUGUCGCUAGAGGGCUCCGUUCAGGAAUGACUCCGCCGGUAAUGAAGAAAAAUGCGAGGAAGAGUAACCUAUCGCACCAGGGCUAUGAAAGUAAAGCGACCUUAUUGGUCGAUUAAAAAUAAAGCUCUCAGCCACCGCAAGGGAGUGCAUCGGUAGAAAUUAAUAGGCAGCACAAAUUGCACUGUUGUGUUACUGUGUUACCUAGACAGGCUUUGGCUGUGGGCUCUGAUGUCAAAGUCUGUAAUACCGACAGCACAAAUGUCAAACAAAACUAUCAAAUAGUCGAACGCCAUUUUUAACGGUUUUGUUUGUGGUUUUUUUACCUUGUUAUUCAACAAAAUGCUUACAGCAGUGCAUUUACUUUGGUUUUAGUUUUUACAACUAAUAAAGUACUCUUUGAAUUCGUGAGAGAAAGUUGAACGUGGGCAUGGGACUUUAACACUGUUGUUUGUUCGGUACAAGGAUGUACCUACAAUAAAAGGCCCAUAUUUCGUUUCCCACAUCCCAUCAGUAGAUACAGGCCGUCAAGAACCCUGGAUAAUGUAGUUUAGAUUGCCAGUUGGCUAUCCAAGGUGCCGGAGGACAACAGCAGCAAUUUGUUGCAAAAUGGGUGAUUAAUUUUGCUAAGAGAACUGGAUUUUCCACCUCUUGCUCAACGUGUGGACAGAUUCAACAUUUGAAAAAUAAAUGUUCCACCAGAUGCAACGACACAUAUCGUAUUUCUUAACCGUACAACAGUAAGCCUCAGUCAGUUAUAACAACAUAACAAUCCUCCAAUAAGUCGAGGCUUUCUUGUCGGUGUUUCAAUUAAACCAAACAGCGUCGAAUGACUAAAGACCGCUUUGCAAGAGCUAAAACCGGCAAGUAGCCAUCAGAUGUGAAAAAUAAUAACCUGUGUGUAAAUUUGCAUUAUAGAACAAUAAUUUUAAGAUGAACGUACCUAAGUCAAAUAAAAACUGUUAUUAAUAAAUUUUUACAACAUUACAAUUUUUUAUUAUGAAACAUUUUUCGUACUCUUUGCACAUAUUUGCAAUGACAGUUUUUAGUAAUUCGUUACUAAAAACUGUUGUUGCAAAUAUUUGCAAAGAUUACGAAAAAUUAUAAUAUUUUAUGAAUAAGUAAUGGUCGGAGUCAUUUAAAUUUACCGCCAUUACGCUCGCGACCACCUACUGAUGGCGCUGCAGUCUCUCAACCGCCACCAACAAGGAAAGAGUCAAUUCUAUCUAUCUCUUAUUCUAUGA